UGGGGAAUAUUGGACAAUGGGGGAAACCCUGAUCCAGCGACGCCGCGUGUGUGAAGAAGGCCUGCGGGUUGUAAAGCACUUUCGGUGGGAACGAAAUAUGCCGGGCUAAUACCCCGGUAGGCUGACGUUACUCAAUGAAGAAGCACCGGCUAACUCUGUGCCAGCAGCCGCGGUAAUACAGAGGGUGCGAGCGUUAAUCGGAAUUACUGGGCGUAAAGCGCACGUAGGUGGCUAUGUAAGUCGGGUGUGAAAUCCCCGGGCUCAACCUGGGAACUGCAUUCGAGACUGCAUAGCUGGAGUACGGCAGAGGGGGAUGGAAUUCCGCGUGUAGCAGUGAAAUGCGUAGAUAUGCGGAGGAACACCGAUGGCGAAGGCAGUCCCCUGGGCCUGUACUGACGCUCAUGCACGAAAGCGUGGGGAGCAAACAGGAUUAGAUACCCUUGUAGUCCCUGAGCGGGCUGGCAAGGCGCAU
rnacentral:rRNA from 1 species